rnacentral:rRNA from 1 species
UACAGAGGUGGCAAGCGUUGCUCGGUAUCACUGGGCUUAAAGGGCGCGUAGGCGGUGCGGUACGGUUUCGGUGAAAUCCCUCGGCCCAACCGAGGAACAGCCGGAGCUACGGCCGGACUAGACGGCAUCAGGGGACAGUGGAACUCCCGGUGGAGCGGUGAAAUGCGUAGAUAUCGGGAGGAACGCCGGUGGCGAAAGCGACUGUCUGGGGUGCCUGUGACGCUGAGGCGCGAAGGCUAGGGGAGCAAACGGG